CCAAUAUUCUUCCAUUCUUAAACUCAAUAACAAGCUUCCCCAUUGACUCUCAUCAGGUCUCCAGGACGUAUUUGCCGCAGCAACGCUGGUUAAUAUGUCAAGUAUUUUAGAGGGGUAAUAUGAUCAUUUGCCUCUAAAAGCAUGUGUUUGGGAUAUCAAUACAUCAAUGAUGAGAACACGUCAACAUCAUUUUUCGUUGAAUCUGUCUUGUAACAUCGAUAUGCUUCAGCCCUAACUUGACAAUGUGCGUUAAUUUCUGAUUGUGCUGCUCUGUCUGCUCGGAGUUGCAUUUUGGAAUAAAUAGCCUCAAUAGUCUCUACUCAGAGAACAAGAACUAUAUUUAUAUGAUCAACAACCACCUUGUCUGUUUUUGUUUUUGAUAUACGCCUUUAUGCUGUUGAUUUUGUUUAAUUUUAUUCAGAUACAUGAAGGAUGCAUGCAUGGAUUAAUACAAUGUUUUUGGCUGGGAUACAUAUUUCAUUUCACAAGUAAAACUCAACACUGGAUGUGCUUAUAAACUAUAGUAAUUAUUUCCCUUUUUUUUCCUUUGCAAGAAUGAGACAUAGCUGACCAUUUUUGCCCUAAAUUUAAUGAAGUAAACAGUUAGGCUU